UCGCAUGGCUACUAUUUUGAUUUUCCCACUGCUCGGCUCAAAUAUUGAUUUAUUUAUUUCAUAAAAUCGACUAAGAGAUAUGAUAUAAUCAAUCGAUUGAUUAAAGUGGUAUAUAACACAUUCAGUACUUUUUUAUAAUUUAAAUAUAUCUUAAAUUUAGUUCGUGAUAUAAAAAUAUUUACAAAAUUUCAUUGAAUAGAUUUUUGAUAUUAUUUAAUGCAUAUUUUGAUAUCAAAAUCAGUUAUCUAAACAUAGAAAGUUUGUUUAAUGCUCAAGUAGCAGCACACUCGAAUGAUUUGAACGAAAAUGGGGACCUCUAGAUUUAGCAUGAAACACGCUCAUUUGUGUUCAGAAGCCUAGGUAAUAAGGAUGGGUUAUGGUAAAACCUUAUGAUCAUUUUUUUUGUAGUGGAAUUAUUUGUCUUUCUUUCUGAAGUCAAAUGCAAUUUCGAAUUUUAUUUUUGUGGUGAGUCAGUAACAUUGGUCAAGAUUAUUUAGAAACCUGCUGUCUGUAAUGGACAUUAUAGUUGGUGUGCUGUCAAUAAAUAACAUGCAUGAAGAGUUACACUAAUUUGUCCAGUAAUACGGCCCAGUAAUACAUAAUAGUUGUAGCAUGAACACGUGAUGGAUAAUGUGCGUAAAAUUGCCAAGCUAGAGAGUCUGGGCAUUAUUUGAUAAUAUGGAUACUUUUCACUGUCCGAAGGUUCAAAGGUCAUCUUUUGUACAACGGUAUUCAUAUUUUUGGAACAAAACAACGCUUUACAGAAAACAUUUGCAAGGAUAUUAGCAUCAAUUCUUAAAAGGACGUAUGCACCAUUUUUAAGAAAGGAAACGUAAAAUAUAUCAAGGUUACUGGUGGUGAAUAUGAGCUGAAAAGAAAGAAACGGACCAGUAGUAAUAAAGAAAUCACAGCUGAGGUUGCUGUGAUUGAAUGGACAAAGAAAAGGGUGUUUAUUUGAAUUAUUGCUGAUAAUGGUAAAUGGAGUUUUCAAAAAGGCCAGUUGGAUGCGGUUUCAAUAUAAAUUUGGCAUUGUGAAAGCUUAACAAGAAAAAUGAACUUGAAAUUGACUUAAGUUAUAUGAUACCUAAUUUUUGUGAGAAAAUCAACAGAGACACAAAUUUAUUGGCGGAGACGGAAAGGGACUAUACCAUCAAACGUUUAACAGCUAACUUUACUCUAAGUAAAAUACUGUUUGUUUUAAAUUAUGGACCAUCAUGAACAUAUGUUAUGAUUCUUAAUUGUGGCAUGUAUGCAAUUUUGCGUUUUGUUCAUAUCUGAUUCAUUUGAUUGAUAUUAUUGUGUUGUUUUAGAUGCUGUAUUGUAAACUUCUAUAUAACAGAAACUGAAUACAAAAUCUCUUGCACAAUUUAUAUAGUAAUUUGCCUUAUUAAUUAUAAAUGUCUACAUCUGAAAGGAACGAAAGUAAAUCUUUAAAACUAAAUGUAUUCAAAAUACCAUUUCCAUAAUACAGUUUGAAGCACGAGCCGUUGUCUUACUAAUUAAAUUAACUAUUUCCUGUUGCAAUAUAUUUUACUUGUUUUCAGCAUACUGCUGGUUGGUGCAGAUUUAACGGCACGCUUUUGUUUCGAAAGUAAAUGGCUAUUUAUUAUACCUGGCACUUGACCUUUUCAUUCGUCAUUUCUACAAUGAACCUGGUAUGUUUAGCGAUAGCCAGUCGUAGAUUUCGUAGAGGUGGAGCGAGCUUUUGUUACGCCAAAAUAGUCCGUCUCUAAAUUUUAUUCAAUUAUCAGGUGACCCGCCUCCUAUUAUCAAAAUUGUUAACUGUAUGCAACAGGCCUUGCAAUUAGAUUGUUAAAUACUCUAGUGAUUAAACGGUACUUUUAUAUUGUUGAUUACGUGUAUAUUAUUAUUUUUGGAGGGACAUAUGUACUUUAUAUCGAUGUGUAAUUUUUACAUUUUUGCAUGUUUUCUUACAAAAAUGUUAUAUUCUUACUUAAUGAACAUAUGUUAAUGUAUUUCGUCCUUUUAGAUAUUUGAGAAUUAUUUUGCGUUUAGUAAUUUUACAUAUGUUGAAUUAACAUGAAUGUUUUGGCGCGCUGCACUUAUUAGUUAAAGCUUUUUUAGUAUUCGUAGUACCCCAUAGUUUUUGUCUUACAUUAAAUCUCCGACAUUCCUACUGAAAAGAUCAAACCCAAUUACAUAAAUAUUAUAACACUGUUCCGUACGCGUAAAGCACUGUGUUUUUACACUUUUGACACGGACGCGCUUAAAUAGCAUAGUGCUCCUGCAUUAACCUAUUAUAAAACAAUACUGGGUUGUCUGGCAGCUAAAACCAACUCACUUAAAAAUAAAUAUCAUUUUUUUCGUGUGUCCAUCGGACUAUUAAAAAACGGUUUAAAUCAUAUCAUUUACGAAGGCCAAAUGUGACGUAAUUUACUGAACUAGUGGUACAUGUAAACUGGUUAUUAUUAGAAAAUUAUCAGAAAUUAUUUAUAAUGCAUUCAUACUGAGAACACUGUUAUUGCAAAUAGUGUUAAACUUUUAGAUCUACGCAUCUAAAUAACAGUUCUGUGUGACUGAAAUACUGUUGAAAAGCGGCGUUUAAACCCGAACGAACAAACAAACUACCGUGUAUAGUUGUAAAAUGUACAAGACUCGUCUUGAUAACAAUUUAUGUUUCAUGAAAAAUAAUUAUUGUAUGCAAACAUGCUUAAUUUUUACGUUGUUUGUAUUAAAUCAAAUAACAACAUCUUAAUGUAUAUGUUUCAAUGGUAUGACAAAAAAAAACAAGUGUUUACGUCGACAAAAUAUUAAAUAUAUUUCUGUCGGUCUGCUUUUAAUGAAAAGCAAUUGGCAAUAAGUAAACUUUUGGUAAAAGAUACAGAGCAUCAAAUAUUGGCAAAAAUUAUCACGAAACAGGAAAACAGAGGUUUCCAGCCAGUGUGUUUAUAUAAGUCAAACCUGUCUAUAAAAAACACCCUUAGGACAGGUAAAACGUGUUCUUAGAGCCAGGUGGUCUCUAUUCAAAGCCGGUCUUUAACAAAGGCUUGACCGUACACACCACAUGUACACAUUGCAAAGAUUUAUACUAGUUAUAUCUUGAACACACAAACAUUUAAAUAAGUUUAAAUUGUUUAAAUAAAAGUACACAUUUUUAUUUAAUAAAUCCAGCGUUAAAGCUGCAUUGUCCGUCGAAAAUGUAAACUCUGUUCAGUUUAUUGAAUUACUUUCCUGGCAAAUAAUAAGCUUUAAUGUCUUCUAUUCUUGAAACCGUCUGCUUAUGAGGUUCAUUCUUUAUUUCAGUUUUUGUGAUCUGACUAGCUUUUCCCGGCAAAUUAAUUUCUUUGGUAGUUUGGAAACUAUGAUUUACAAAGUUUUGCUUUAAAAACUAAUUACACAAACCUAAUGAUAAAUAAUGUUUGUGAAUUUAUUAUUCGGUAGUUGAUCCGAAUGUGAAGCGUGCAUGUUUCAUAUUAAAAACCUGCAUUAGCGCCUCGUUCGGGAUUUUAUAUGACAGUUGCGAGUUAAUAUGAAGUGCCCCGUUGUUACUACCAACUUGAUAUAUUUACUAUUUGUUUCUUUUGAUACCUUACACUGACACAGAAGACAGUGUUUCGUGUGCUUGGUUUUGUAUU
rnacentral:lncRNA from 1 species